rnacentral:rRNA from 1 species
GACGAACGCUGGCGGCGUGCCUAAUACAUGCAAGUCGGACGCAGAUGCGAAGGGGUGAGUAACGCGUAGGCAACUAACUAGUAGAGGAGGAUAACAAUUGGAAACGAUAGCUAAUACCGCAUACUAGUAGAUGGACCUGCGUUGUAUUAGCUAGUAGGUAGGGUAAAGGAGUACCUAGGCAACGAUACAUGGCCGAACGGAGAGGGUGAUCGGCCACACUGGGACUGAGACAGGGCCCAGACUCCUACGGGAGGCAGCAGUAGGGAAUCUUCGGCAAUGGGUGGAGCCCUGACCGAGCAACGCCGCGUGUGUGAAGAAGGUUUUCGGAUCGUAAAACUCUGUUGUUCGGGAAGCGGUAUCUAACCAGAAAGCCACGGCUAACUACGUGCCAGCAGCCGCGGUAAUUC